UUAAGAUUUUAUUUUAAAGUAGGCGUACCAUACAUUUUUCUUUUGUUAUUAGGUACUUAUUUAAUUUAAUUUAUACAUUACAAUAUAUCCGUAGCCUAUAAUUCCAACGAUUUACAGAAAUAAUACUUAUGUAAAUCUGUCAUAUUAACGAACGUAGGUACGUUAAAAUUGUCGCUCCUGUACACAUUGGCCAAAGGGAUUCGGCGAGUGUCGGCAAACGAGUAAACGCUGCUUGUUAAUUGGGUCAACAAUACCCUUUGAUGUUAAAGUAGAUAUAUGAAAACCUACAAAUUGAAGGUACUUUCAACAAUGAAAGAAAUUGUAGGCAUUAGGAUUUCCAUCAUAAAAAAAGAGACAAGCAUUACUUUCCUAUUUAAAACUUGGAGGAACUUUUGUAAAGCAUGUAUUUAAAAAAUCUCAUUGCAAUAAAACAAUCAUAGUUUUGUAUAAAUUGUUUAAAAAAUAAGCAAUAUCGAUUUUCUCUUUUAUUCUGAUCUGAAACCUCUGUGCUUACCUAUAACUUCCGAAGGGUUACAGGUAAGUUCGUCGUAAAUUUUACUUACAUACAAAAUAAGUAUGUUUUAUACUUAGUAUAAUUAUCACAUUGAUGGCCGAAUUUUGUCCAAAAAUGGGUAUUUGUCAUUCGGCAAGCUAAAUGUUCGCCAAACGAUCGCCGAAAGCAUUAUAGGCCAAUGUCUACUGGAUUCUUACAUAACAUGGUACAAAGUUGAAAUGAUUCACUUUUAUUAGAAUCUUUACUUGCAUUUUAUUAGAUUUUUUCAUAUUUCGUUGUUCGCAAACAGUUAGCCUAAGGUUGUAUUCCCACGGUGCAUGAUAGUACGAGCAACGUAACUCAAGUUAUUCGAAAUGGUAGACGCCUUUGCUGGCGGAGGAGUCUUUUCUCAGCGCGCCUCAUACAAACGAAGUUUGAUUCUUAUUUGAAUACGAAAUUUUUCAGACAGGCUCUACAAACUUCGUCCCAAAUUCGCAAUAAAUAAAAUUGAAUUGAAUUGAAUUCGUCAUCAUUAUGAUCAACACAUCGCUGGCUCAAUACUGAGCACGGGUCUCUUCUCAAAAUGUUUGUGGGUUUGGCCAUAGUGCAAAAUGCUGGCCAAGUACGGAUUGGCAGACAGAUUAGCACUAUAGUCAGCCAAUCAGAUUCAAGAUAAUCAUAAAUUACAUCAAAGCUUGGACCUAAUAAUCGAAAUGAAACUUUAUUUUUAUCAAGCAUCGUGGGAAACCACCAUAAAGAUUCACCGUAAUUUUUUUGCCUUUACGGCUCUGGGUUAUAUAUCUGGGUAUAAGCCUCACGAAAGAAGUAAAAAAAGAACUCAGAAUAACAUUUCAAAGUCACUUAAAUUUAAAAAAGGAACUUCGCCUUGAUUCGCAGCACGUUACUAAUAAAUCACAACCACAUUUC